rnacentral:rRNA from 1 species
AUACGGAGGGUGCGAGCGUUAAUCGGAAUUACUGGGCGUAAAGCGUGCGUAGGCGGUUUGCUAAGUGAGAUGUGAAAGCCCCGGGCUUAACCUGGGAACUGCAUUUGAUACUGGCAGACUAGAGUAUGAUAGAGGGGGGUAGAAUUCCUGGUGUAGCGGUGAAAUGCGUAGAUAUCAGGAGGAAUACCAGUGGCGAAGGCGGCCCCCUGGAUCAAUACUGACGCUGAGGUACGAAAGCAUGGGGAGCGAACAGGAUUAGAAACCCUAGUAGUCC